rnacentral:rRNA from 1 species
GACGAACGCUGGCGGCGUGCUUAACACAUGCAAGUCGAACGGAAAGGCCCUGCUUUUGUUGGUUGCUCGAGUGGCGAACGGGUGAGUAACACGUGAGUAACCUGCCCUUUACUUUGGGAUAACUGCAGGAAACUGGGGCUAAUACCGGAUAGGAGCUCCUGCUGCAUGGUGGUGGUUGGAAAGUUUCGGCGGUUGGGGAUGGACUCGCGGCUUAUCAGCUUGUUGGUGGGGUAGUGGCUUACCAAGGCUUUGACGGGUAGCCGGCCUGAGCGGGUGACCGGCCACAUUGGGCCUGAGAUACGGCCCAGACUCCUACGGGAGGCAGCGGUGGGGAAAAUUGCACAAUGGGCGGAAGCCUGAUGCGGCAACGCCGGGUGCGGGAUAACGGCCUUCGGGUUGUAAACCGCUUUCGCAUGUGACGAAGCGUGAGUGACGGUAAUGGGUAAAGAAGCACCGGCUAACUACGUG